rnacentral:rRNA from 1 species
AAUGAACGCUGGCGGCGUGCUUAACACAUGCAAGUCGAACGGUGAACGAGGGAGCUUGCUCCCUCCGGAUCAGUGGCGAACGGGUGAGUAACACGUGAGCAAUCUGCCCUGGACUCUGGGAUAAGCGUUGGAAACGACGUCUAAUACCGGAUACGAGGCGUGGGGGCAUCCCCAACGCCUGGAAAGAACUUCGGUCCAGGAUGAGCUCGCGGCCUAUCAGCUAGUUGGUGAGGUAACGGCUCACCAAGGCGACGACGGGUAGCCGGCCUGAGAGGGUGACCGGCCACACUGGGACUGAGACACGGCCCAGACUCCUACGGGAGGCAGCAGUGGGGAAUAUUGCACAAUGGGCGCAAGCCUGAUGCAGCAACGCCGCGUGAGGGACGACGGCCUUCGGGUUGUAAACCUCUUUUAGCAGGGAAGAAGCGAAAGUGACGGUACCUGCAGAAAAAGCACCGGCUAACUACGUGCCAGCAGCAGCCGCAGUAA